CAGUCGCCGCGGUAAUACGAAGGGUGCAAGCGUUAAUCGGAAUUACUGGGCGUAAAGUGUGCGUAGGCGGUUUGUUAAGUCUGUUGUGAAAUCCCCGGGCUCAACCUGGGAAUGGCAAUGGAUACUGGCAGGCUAGAGUGUGUCAGAGGAUGGUGGAAUUCCCGGUGUAGCGGUGAAAUGCGUAGAGAUCGGGAGGAACAUCAGUGGCGAAGGCGGCCAUCUGGGACAACACUGACGCUGAGGCACGAAAGCGUGGGGAGCAAACAGGAUUAGAUACCCGGGUAGUCCCUGUCUCUUAUAC
rnacentral:rRNA from 1 species